GUGACUGCCUCACUGCGGUUCAUGGGUCUGGAUCGACACUGAUAGUUAUGAUGGUCUCUAGGUCUGCUAACAGCACGGUGUGUAUACCCCCCCGCCUGAGAUUCUGUGCUGAUCGACACGGACCCGAGCCCCGCACCGAGUCACAUGACAGGGAUCAGACCCUGCGCGAGACACGGAGCUAAAGCAGCGGCACUUACCAGGGAUCAGGAGACAGCAGGCGGACCGGAGAACAAGACCAAGACAAGAGGACCGACCGAGCGCAGCAGCUCCGGGUGUGUGUGUGUGUGUUUACAGUGUGUGUGGUCUACUGCCAGGCCUGUCUCUGACGGGGAGGGGCUUAUUCUCUCUCCUGUUCCCUGUCAGAGAGAGUCACUCCUCUUUCCUUUAUGUAAUAACGAUGGUUAUAACACAAGUUAUUGCACUUCAUCACGCUGGUCCUGUUGCUUUCCAGUGCACCGGCGUUAGGACUGGGGGGGAUGUUUCGUUGAGAUGUUUGUUCAAGCUCGAAAAAGCUCAUUCUGACGGCCUUGAGGCUGCAGGUUGGCUGUCUGAGGGUGGUGAAGGGAAGAUAACAGUCUCUGGUGAAUAUACAUUACUUUUUUUGUUGAAUAAUGACAGAAACAUACCUUUUGGAUUUUGAAUUUCCCAUUACAUUUCCGCCUAUGAUUCAUGUGUGUUAAAGUGUUAAUAUGACAAAGAUGGUAAAUUGUAUUGAUAUAAUCUUUUUUCCCCCAGAGAUACAUGUGAUACGGCCAACAUCGCCCCUUCAGAGGAGCCAACAUUGUCACUUUUUGUUAUGGGAAGGUUCCAAACAUCAGCCAAAAAGAAUAAAUUAUAGUUUUGAUUAAA